GACGAACGCUGGCGGCGUGCUUAACACAUGCAAGUCGAACGGAAAGGCCCUGCUUUUGUGGGGUGCUCGAGUGGCGAGCGGGGGAGUAACACGUGAGUAACCUGCCCUUGACUUUGGGAUAACUUCAGGAAACUGGGGCUAAUACCGGAUAGGAGCUCCUGCUGCAUGGGGGGGGUUGGAAAGUUUCGGCGGUUGGGGAUGGACUCGCGGCUUAUCAGCUUGUUUGUGGGGUAGUGGCUUACCAAGGCUUUGACGGGUAGGCUGCCUGAGAGGGUGAACGGCCACAUUGGGACUGAGGUACGGCCCAGAAUCCAACGGGAGGCAGCAGGCGGGAAUAUUGCACAAUGGGGGGAAGCCUGAUGCAGCAACGCCGCGUGCGGGAUGACGGCCUUCGGGUUGUAAACCGCUUUCGCCUGUGACGAAGCGUGAGUGACGGUAAUGGGUAAAGAAGCACCGGCUAACUACGUG
rnacentral:rRNA from 1 species